rnacentral:rRNA from 1 species
GCAACCCUGGUGGCGAGUGGCGGACGGGUGCGUAACACGUGGAUAAUCUGCCCUCUGGCGGGGGACAACAACCUGAAAGGGUUGCUAAUACCGCAUAAGUGAGUGAGAUCUUUGGAUCUUGUUCGGAAAGAUGCCCUCUUCAUGAAAGGUAUCACCGGAGGAUGAGUCCGCGGCCCAUCAGCUAGUUGGCGAGGUAAUGGCUCACCAAGGCUAUGACGGGUAGCUGGUCUGAGAGGAUGAUCAGCCACACUGGAACUGAGACACGGUCCAGACUCCUACGGGAGGCAGCAGUGGGGAAUAUUGGACAAUGGGGGAAACCCUGAUCCAGCCAUGCCGCGUGAGUGAUGAAGGCCUUCGGG